AUCCACCUCAAACCAGAUAUGUCAGUCAUUUCAGAUUGAUGCAGCAGUUUUAGUGUGAUAUUGGAUAUCGACUUCUAUCACUGGGAUUCACAUCAUGGAUAUUAGCAUUAAUGUGGCAUUUUGAAGCUGUGCAAGUCUCCAGACGGCGUUGCAGAUUUCAGAAAAAAGUAGAUGCCAGAGCUUCGAGGAGCCCAGUAGUCUGAGAGAAUGAAAACCAUUGCAAUCUUUUGGUUUUGACGUGUGCACUGCAGCAACUGUGGUUUUGGGUUGGUAGAAAGGAAAAUAGUCUGUCCAAGGGUGGGAGGAGUCUUCUGUGAUGCUCUGGGAUGAUACGGGAAAUUCUUUAGCAGGACAAACGCUUGCACAUUUUUUGGGGGAAUCGCUCCAGGCAGCUUCAGGCGAUCAUUCAGCCAUAAGAUGAUGCAGCUGGUUGUUGGCACACACAGGACUUCUCAGUGUGGCUGCCGCACGAACCAAACAAAGCUUUCUGUACCAACCUACUUUACCGUAUCUUACUUUCAACUAUAGCAAUAUGUGAAGCUCAGUGCAUAUACUUGACUGUCUGAGACCCAUGGAAAUGUUACACUUAGAAAAGAAUAUGGAUAUUACAGUUGUUAGCAAUACAUCUGUUUCACUGUAUAAGACAGGUUUCCCUGAAGUGCUAAUGUGUCUCUGAGAGUUUAUUUUCCUUAAUCUAUUUCGUAAUUAACUUAAUUUCCUUUUAAACUUAUAGUGGCUUUUCCUCAUCAUGUUUCUGUAUUUAGUGAUGAAGUGUGUUUUUGCAC